GGGGGUUUAGCUCAGUGGUAGAGCGUCCGCUUUGCACGUGAAAGGUCCCGGGUUCAAUCCCCGGCAUCUCCA
rnacentral:tRNA from 1 species